UACGUAGGUGGCAAGCGUUGUCCGGAAUUAUUGGGCGUAAAGCGCGCGCAGGCGGUCCUUUAAGUCUGAUGUGAAAGCCCACGGCUCAACCGUGGAGGGUCAUUGGAAACUGGGGGACUUGAGUGCAGGAGAGAAGAGUGGAAUUCCACGUGUAGCGGUGAAAUGCGUAGAGAUGUGGAGGAACACCAGUGGCGAAGGCGAGGUGCUGGGUCCUUUCUGACGCUGAUGCGCGAAAGCCAGGGGAGCAAACGGG
rnacentral:rRNA from 1 species